rnacentral:tRNA from 1 species
CGGAUACGAACGUGCGGCAUGGAACUCGAGUGAUGAUGGUGGGGUUCGAACCCACGCCCGAAGACUGGUG